ACAAGUACCGUGAGGGAAAGUUGCAAAGCACUUUGAAGAGAGAGUUCAAGAGGACGUGAAACCGAUGAGAUUGAAACGGAAAGAGGUACCGAAAACUGCUUGUAUUCAGCUGCCAUUUUGCGUGUAUCUGGUCUCUCCGAUCCCGCUAGGGUUGGUAGUCUAGACUUCAUGCGGAUUGGCAGUGCAUUUGCGAGUAAUAUGCGUUGCGACAUGUGGUCCGGUCACUCAAGGUGUGAUUAGAGGACUCCAUUAGGAGAACCCUGGUUUCAAUAAGGGUGAUUCAGACUGCAGGUAUUGGGACAGGCCAACGUGCGUUGUGGUUAUCAAUGUGAUUUCCUACGUGGGUCGCAUGCGAUUUGCGUUUGAGAUUUACCUUGGUAGCUACUACGUAAACUGUUCUCAUCGCAGUGUUAAAGGUAUUCAUCUUUCCGACCCGUCUUGAAACACGGACCAAGGAGUAUACAGUAUGUGCAAGUCAUUGAGUGUUAAACUCAAAGGCGUAAUGAAAGUAAAGAUUCCGUAAGGUUUUGAUAUGCGAUCUUAGUUGUCUUGGCAGCAGAGAGCAGCAUAGCCCCGUCUUGACCGCUUGCGGUAGGGCGGAGGUAGAGCGCAUGCUAUGUGACCCGAAAGAUGGUGAACUAUGCUUGAACAGGAUGAAGCCAGAGGAAACUCUGGUGGAAGUCCGAAGCGAUUCUGACGUGCAAAUCGAUCGUCUGAUUUGAGUAUAGGGGCGAAAGACUAAUCGAACCAUCUAGUAGCUGGUUCCUUCCGA
rnacentral:rRNA from 1 species